GAUGAACGCUGGCGGCGUGCCUAAUACAUGCAAGUCGAGCGAAUGGAUUAAGAGCUUGCUCUUAUGAAGUUAGCGGCGGACGGGUGAGUAACACGUGGGUAACCUGCCCAUAAGACUGGGAUAACUCCGGGAAACCGGGGCUAAUACCGGAUAACAUUUUGAACCGCAUGGUUCGAAAUUGAAAGGCGGCUUCGGCUGUCACUCAUGGAUGGACCCGCGUCGCAUUAGCUAGUUGGGGAGGUAACGGCUCACCAAGGCAACGAUGCGUAGCCGACCUGAGAGGGUGCUCGGCCACACUGGGACUGAGACACGGCCCAGACGCCUACGGGAGGCAGCAGUAGGGAAUCUUCCGCAAUGGACGAAAGUCUGACGGAGCAACGCCGCGUGAGUGAUGAAGGCUUUCGGGUCGUAAAACUCUGUUGUUGGGGAAGAACAAGUGCUAGUUGAAUAAGCUGGCACCUUGACGGUACCUAACCAGAAAGCCACGGCUAACUACGUGCCAGCCGCCGCGGUAA
rnacentral:rRNA from 1 species